rnacentral:tRNA from 1 species
GGAAGUGGAUAGCUCACUGGUGGGGCUCACGGACUUCAAAUCCGGUGUGCCGGGCUAAAACCCUGGCAGGUGGGUUCGAUUCCCAUGCACUUCCGCCA